AGCCCCGUGUGAGCGAUGUGCGAGGCCGUGCGAUGGUGUGUGUGAGGCUCGUGUGCGUGUGCGAGGCCGUGCGAGCCCCGUGCGAGCCCCGUGUGACCCCGUGCGAGGCCAUGUGAUGGUGCGUGUGAGGCUCGUGUGCGUGUGUGAGGCCGUCCGAGGUGCGUGCAAGGCUUGUGCAAGCCCCAUGCAAGCCCCGUGCGAGGCCGUGUGAUGGUGCGUGUGAGGCUCGUGUGCGUGUGUGAGGCCGUCCGAGCCCUGUGCGAGGCCGUGUGAGGCCGUGUGAUGGUGCGUGUGAGGCUCGUGUGCGUGCGAGGCUUGUGCAAGCCCCGUGCGAGCCCCGUGCGAGCCCCGUGCGAGGCUGUGCGAGGGUGCGUGUGAGGCUCGUGUGCGUGUGCGAGACCGUGCGAGCCCCGUGCGAUGCCGUGCGAGGCCGUGUGAUGGUGCGUGUGAGGCUCGUGUGAGCGUGUGUGAGGCCGUCCGAGGUGCGUGCGAGGCUUGUGCAAGCCCCGU